ACUCCUACGGGAGGCAGCAGUGGGGAAUAUUGCACAAUGGGCGCAAGCCUGAUGCAGCCAUGCCGGCGUGUGUGAAGAAGGCCUUCGGGUUGUAAAGGCACUUUCAGUCGUGAGGAAGGCUGGUGUUGUUAAUAGCAGCAUCAUUUGACGUUAGCGACAGAAGAAGCACCGGCUAACUCCGUGCCAGCAGCCGCGGUAAUACGGAGGGUGCGAG
rnacentral:rRNA from 1 species